GCCAGCAGCUAUCACUCUGCAGCUCUCGCCUGGUCGCCCACUGAAGCUAAGCAGGGUUGAGCCUGGUCAGUACCUGAAUGAGAGACCUCCUGGGAAAACUAGGUUGCUGCUGGAA
rnacentral:rRNA from 1 species